rnacentral:rRNA from 1 species
AACGAACGUUAGCGGCGCGCCUAAGACAUGCAAGUCGAGCGCGAGAGGGAUUCGUCCCCGGUACAGAGGCGCACGGGUGAGUAACCCGUAGGCCAUCUACCCUCGAGUGGUUGAUAACUCUCCGAAAGGUGAGCUAAUACAGCAUGAUCGUAGCAUGCGCCAAAGCGGGGCUCUUCAUGAAAGCUCGCGCUAGAUGACGAGCCUACGGCCCAUCAGGUAGUUGGCGGAGUAACAGCCCACCAAGCCAAAGACGGGUAGCUGGUCGGUGAGCAUGAACAGCCACACUGGAACUGAGACACGGUCCAGACUCCUACGGGAGGCAGCAGUCGGGAAUCUUCCGCAAUGGGCGAAAGCCUGACGGGGCGACGCCGCGUGAGUGAUGAAGGCCUUCGGGUUGUAAAGCUCUGUGGGGAGAGAAGAAUAAGUGCAGGCUAAUACUCUGCAUGAUGACGGUAUCUCCUUAGCAAGCACCGGCUAACUCUGUGCCAGCAGCCGCAGUAA